AUUGAACGCUGGCGGCAGGCCUAACACAUGCAAGUCGAACGGUAGCACAGAGAGCUUGCUCUAGGGUGACGAGUGGCGGACGGGUGAGUAACGUCUGGGAAACUGCCCGAUGGCGGGGGAUAACUACUGGAAACGGUAGCUAAUACCGCAUAACGUCGAAAGACCAAAGUGGGGGACCUUCGGGCCUCACACCAUCGGAAUUGCCCAGAAGGGAUUAGCUAGUAGGUGGGGUAAUGGCUCACCGAGGCGACGAUCCCUAGGUGGUCUGAGAGGAUGACCAGCCACACUGGAACUGAGACACGGUCCAGACUCCUACGGGAGGCAGCAAUGGGGAAUAUUGCACAAUGGGCGCAAGCCUGAUGCAGCCAUGCCGCGUGUAUGAAGAAGGCCUUCGGGUUGUAAAGUACUUUCAGCGGGGAGGAAGGCGGUGAAGUUAAUAGCUUCACAGAUUGACGUUACCCGCAGAAGAAGCACCGGCUAACUCCGUGCCAGCCGCCGCGGUAA
rnacentral:rRNA from 1 species